rnacentral:rRNA from 1 species
GUAUAGACCCGAAACCCGGUGAUCUAGCCAUGGGCAGGUUGAAGGUUGGGUAACACUAACUGGAGGACCGAACCGACUAAUGUUGAAAAAUUAGCGGAUGACUUGUGGCUGGGGGUGAAAGGCCAAUCAAACCGGGAGAUAGCUGGUUCUCCCCGAAAGCUAUUUAGGUAGCGCCUCGUGAAUUCAUCUUCGGGGGUAGAGCACUGUUUCGGCUAGGGGGUCAUCCCGACUUACCAAACCGAUGCAAACUACGAAUACCGAAGAAUGUUAUC